AGAGUUUGAUCCUGGCUCAGGAUGAACGCUGGCGGCGUGCCUAACACAUGCAAGUCGAACGGAGUUACGAGAGCUUGCUUUUGUAACUUAGUGGCGGACGGGUGAGUAAUGUAUGAGCAACCUGCCUUUCAGAGGGGGACAACAGUUGGAAACGACUGCUAAUACCGCAUAAUGUAUCCGGGCGGCAUCGCCUGGAUACCAAAGGAGCAAUCCGCUGAAAGAUGGGCUCAUAUCUGAUUAGUUAGUUGGUAGGGUAACGGCCUACCAAGACUGCGAUCAGUAGCCGGACUGAGAGGUUGAACGGCCACAUUGGGACUGAGAUACGGCCCAGACUCCUACGGGAGGCAGCAGUGGGGAAUAUUGGGCAAUGGGCGAAAGCCUGACCCAGCAACGCCGCGUGAAGGAAGAAGGUCUUCGGAUUGUAAACUUCUUUUAUAAGGGACGAAGAAAGUGACGGUACCUUAUGAAUAAGCCACGGCUAACUACGUGCCAGCAGCCGCGGUAAUACGUAGGUGGCAAGCGUUAUCCGGAUUUACUGGGUGUAAAGGGCGCGUAGGCGGGAAAGCAAGUCAGGUGUGAAAUCUAUGGGCUUAACCCAUAAACUGCACUUGAAACUGUUUUUCUUGAGUGCUGGAGAGGUAGACGGAAUUCCUUGUGUAGCGGUGAAAUGCGUAGAUAUAAGGAAGAACACCAGUGGCGAAGGCGGUCUACUGGACAGUAACUGACGCUGAGGCGCGAAAGCGUGGGGAGCAAACAGGAUUAGAUACCCUGGUAGUCCACGCUGUAAACGAUGAAUACUAGGUGUGGGGGGGACUGACCCCCUCUGUGCCGCAGUUAACACAAUAAGUAUUCCACCUGGGGAGUACGGCCGCAAGGUUGAAAACUCAAAGGAAUUGACGGGGGCCCGCACAAGCAGUGGAUUAUGUGGUUUAAUUCGAAGCAACGCGAAGAACCUUACCAGGGCUUGACAUCCCGCUAACGAAGUAGAGAUACAUUAGGUGCCCUUCGGGGAAAGCGGAGACAGGUGGUGCAUGGUUGUCGUCAGCUCGUGUCGUGAGAUGUUGGGUUAAGUCCCGCAACGAGCGCAACCCCUAUUGUUAGUUGCUACGCAAGAGCACUCUAGCGAGACUGCCGUUGACAAAACGGAGGAAGGUGGGGACGACGUCAAAUCAUCAUGCCCCUUAUGUUCUGGGCUUCACACGUGCUACAAUGGUUGGUACAGAGAGACGCAAGACCGUGAGGUGGAGCUAAACUCUAAAGCCAAUCCCAGUUCGGACUGUAGGCUGCAACUCGCCUACACGAAGUCGGAGUUGCUAGUAAUCGCGAAUCAGAACGUCGCGGGGAAUGCGUUACCCGGGUCUUGCACUCACCGCCCGUCA
rnacentral:rRNA from 1 species